rnacentral:lncRNA from 1 species
UCUGAUGUGAUCGUCUUCGAGGAGGAGGAGGGCAACCUCUCACGCCAUCGAUGGCUUACUCCAAGUUGGCUUCGACGAGUUUGUGUCUACAAUCAGUGUUCUUGUCGUCCAUCGAGAUCAUCUUAUUUCAUGUUUCAGCUAUCACCGACAAUUUUGCGUGAACAUUAUGUGAUUGAGGGAAGUAUGCCAAUCUAUCUGAGAUGGGUCGGAUGAGAACUGCCCAUCUUACUGUGUGAAAUUUAGCCUUGAUGGAUCAUUUACUUUCCCAAGCAACAACGGAAGAGUUGGAUAUACGAUGCAUAAACGUAAUGAAGGACCUAUUUGCAGGUGCUCUGUUUCUUGUUGACGGUCAUUCUCUGUGUGUGCAAGUGUUGGCCAGAGAAAGAGGGGUGUUUGCCGCUGAACUGUAAUCAGGUGACGAUUUAAUGUGAUUCACAAGUACUUACCAGCAUGUACUCUACGGCUCAAUUGAUGAUGGAUGAACUUAAUUUAUGCUUAAUUGUAGGUUCUCUUUACUUGUUUGGGCAUUAUCCCAGCCAUCUCACCAAUCUUGGAACUCUGUUUCAAUCAUUUUCAGAGAAAAAAAAAUAAAUUUG